GCAGAUUCGAGUAUGCAUAUUAAAAUAUACAACUACCGAAUUGCAAAGAGAAAAACUCCAGUUUUUUCUGAAACAAAAAACAGAAAUAGUACAUUUUUGUGCAUCCAAAGGCGUGAAGUUAGCAAAAAACAUUAAAAGAAAGGUACCAGACAGUAGGCUCCUGGGACCUUUUAUUAUUCCACAUUUUGUCCUUUAGACAGCAAAAUUCAAUUAAAUUGACAAGUAAAAACCUUCGUUGCAUUGGCAACUUGGCAUCUCUAUUUGGGGUGUAACAUUAGGGAAAUAGAAAAAUAUCAGUUCAAUGCAAAUUGAAAACAAUCUAUAGUCGUGUUCUUAAUUGUCCAAGUGGGGAAGGAUCCCUUGGAUUUUUUAAAUUUCGUAUUGUGCAAGUGCUGAAACCAGCAACCCAUCAUGACAACUGCAUGAAAAAGUAACUUUGUGGGACACUCUUCAUGCUUUUUUAGUGAUUGCUGAGUUCUUUCCACUAUUCCUUGUCAACAAUUUCUGGGCACAGUUCACACCUAGGUAUAGUCUAUUAGACGCAAAUACUAGUAGCAGUUCACAGAAUAAAGAUGAACUGAAGACAGAAGUGGAGGACCAAAGAUACUCUAUUUUGCCUUACAUAUCAUUCUCGUUAAGCAGCUUCUUUAGUAGUCAUAUCUAUUUAGAAAUUCGAAAUGGAUAAUUAAGUAAUACAACUUGACAUGAUUAUACCAAGGCACCAAAAUUCUGUGGUCGUGUGCUGCACCUUUCUCUAAUGUAAAAAUAAUCACACCACGUCAUUCAAACUACUGCAGGGAUGCUUUAAGGCCACUGGUAUAUAUAUUUCUAGAAUGCGGGGUCUCAGGUUGAAGAGGAUAUAAUACACAUGAGCAGAUUUAUGCAUUUGAUGGUGAAACGACAAAUGAGUUUGGUGGGUACCUUCUUUAGGUUGAAAUGUGAAGAUCACGGAGAGAAGCGGCUGAAAUACACAUGAGCAGAUUUAUGCAUUCGUAACGAGCAUCCAAAUCUUUACGAAUGAGGGGCCUGUUCGCUUCAGCUGGCUUAUCAGCUACCAAACAGUGUUUUCCUCUCACAACAAAUCAGCCGUUUCAGCUUUUCAGCCGGCUUAUAAGGCCCUGUUUGGUAACACACCCCUAAACUUUAGUACCUGUCACAUCGGAUGUUUGGAUACUAAUUAGAAGUAUUAAAUAUAGUCUAAUUAUAAAACUAAUUGCACAGAUAGAGUCUAAUUCGCGAGACGAAUCUAUUAAGCCUAAUUAGUCCAUGAUUUGACAAUGUGGUGCUACAGUAACCAUUUGCUAAUGAUGGAUUAAUUAGGCUUAAUAGAUUCAUCUCGUGAAUUAGUAUAGGGGUUCUGCAGUUAGUUUUAUAAUUAGCUCAUGUUUAGUCCUCCUAAUUAGCAUUCGAACAUCCGAUGUGACCCUCCUAAAGUUUAGUACCUCGUAUCCAAACACCCCUUGAGCUGAAGCGAACAUGUCCGAGGUUGUCCAGUCUCUUCUUCAGGGAUGAAGGAAGCGGCUGUAUAGCUGGACAUGAUGUAAUUUGAAGAUCAUGGAGAGAUGAGUAUGCUUGUGGCCCAUCGGGCAAGGAUGCCAGGCUUUUGCAUUCACAAAGACUGAGGCGUUCCAGGGUUGAAAACUCUCCCAAGCAAGAUUCCAGUGAUCUCAACUCUGGGCAUACCGAAAUUAGUAGGCGUUGGAGUCCAUCCAGCUGGCCUGAUAGGAGUUGGAGUUUGCCACACUCCCAAAUUACUAUUUCCCUGAGGGAUGGGGGAAGGUUGAGAACCUCUGACAAGCUUUCGCACCGCUCUAUAUAUAGAUAUUCAAGACAUGGAAGUAGUAAGUGAUCCCGGGCAGCGCUGGGCCCUUGAUUUAAUGUUGGCUCGUCCUGUUGCUCUCCGAAUAUGGACUUAAGCUUAGGACAGCCGCGCAAAUCCAUCGUCUUGAGAGAUGCGGGGACGUUGAAGACCUCUACCAGACUUUCACAAUCCUCUAUGUGUAGAGACUCGAGACGGGGCAGAACUUGGCUCCUUUCUGAUAUUGGUUGGCCAGGAGCAGCUUUCGCGUACCCAAUCAGACCACGGCACUUCUUAAUGGAAAGGUGCCUCAAGGAUACCAAGCUAUGGAACUCUUUUUCCGGCCAGUAGACAAGCGCAUGGUUGAUCUUCUUAAUUUUCAAACGUUGGAGCUGGACAAAACAUGUCCAUAGUGCCAGUGGACUUGAGGGGAACAGAAAGUUGCAGCCACUUAGCUUCAGACUUGUCAGAGGGUAUUUAUUACUGGCGUCCAGCAGCUCAAAGGCACUAUGCCCAGUUGGUAAAGUAGUUUCUGUGAAUUCGACUGAUAACACCAGUUCGGACAAUGAGUUAAUAAAUGUAGGCACUAUUAUUGCUGCCAGUUGGCUGCCAUGUAUUUGUAAUACACCGAGCUUUGGUGCUUCUAUCACCCCCGGUAGAGUUGUCAACUUGGGACAUUUCUUUACAGACAGGGUCUCAAGGUCAGGGAAUCUCUGCUCUUCCAUCAUCCCCAAGCUCUUAAAACUAUCUAAGUCUUCUAACAAGAGCUUCUUUAAGUUUGGAAAUGCUGACCAUGCUGUAACAUCACUAUGGUCAAAUGAUUCUCCCUGAGAUGUAGCUGAUGGUAAUGCUGCCAGUUCGGGGCACUUUUCGAUUGAUAACUCUUCAAGAUAUGGAAAUAUUAUCUGCUGCCCUUGAGUUGCUUCAGCAGCGCCCCCCCACCUCUGAAACUUUGCUAAGCAUUCUAAUUCGAGUACCUUCAGGACUGGAAAUGCCGACCAAAGCUUCCUCUCGUCUUGCUCCUUGUAAUCUCCACAGCACGAUCCUCCGAGAAGUGCUGGCCCUGGUAAUGCUGUAACCUUUCCACAAUUGCUAAUAAACAACCUCUCAAGUUGAGGAAACAUUAUCUGUUCUCCUUGGACCCAGUCAAAUUCCGGCAGUUUGUCCAGCGUAAGCUUCUUCAGAUUAGGAAAGUGAAAGAAUGUACCACCACUGCACAAGCUUUCCAGUUUUUUCAAUCUUUCCAGACGAAGAACUUGUAGAGCUGGUACACUCCCAAGUGGAGGAAGCUUAUGGGACUUGUUACAGUUAGAAAGAUGAAGCUCCACCAUUUUUGUCAGCGUACCCAUCCACGUUGGGAAACUGGUUCCUUGGUAAUGCUCUAUCCUCAGAGCCUCUAGUCCAGGAGGAGCUUCGAGACCCUCCAGCACCUUAUGACAAUGUAGUUUCUCCUCCUGACUACCUGUCCACGUCCAGUUUAAUGACAAUUCCCUGAGCUCCUUUUUAUUUCCAAGAUUGGCCUGUUUUGCAUCUGCUGCAUUUGUCACAUUUUCGAGUUGACUAAGCAGUAGUGGACCACCAAGGUUGUUUAAAUGCUGCAGCUCUGCAAUACUACUGCAAUCAGGGCCUGCACCCACUACAAAAUUUGUAAGUGUUUGCAGGGAAGUGAGAUGUCCAACCUCUGGCGGCAUGCGCUUCAACUCCCAACAUUCGUGAGUGUAGAGGUGACGGAGGGCAGUCAUGUACUUUAUUCCCUUUGGAAGCCGGCCAAGUUUGUGACAGUGCGCCACAUUCAACGUUUGCAGAUUGUACAAAAUGCUGAUAUCUUCCGGAAGUGCCACUAUAUGACUCCACGAGAUAUCAAGAUACCUCAAGAGAUGUAGCUGCUUUGGUUUCAGUAGGAUUGUGCUAUUAUUCUGACAAAGUUGCAAUGCACGCAGAGAGCUGUAUUUUGCGAGAUGCUGCAGGGAACUUUCUAUGCGCUGACCACAUAGUAGUGUUUGCAUAGCUGGAGACCUUAUAUUCAGAGAAUCAUUCAAAACGGCCUCUGGCUUGCCACAUGAUAACAAUAUAUGACGACAAGUGUUCUGAAGAAACUCAUCACUCUGCUUUGGCUUCUCAGUUAUGGUAGCAACUUCUUUGCCCAUGACAGAUAGUGCCACAUCGUGCAUAAGAUCAUGGAUUUUACAUGUACUUGUAGACAAAUACCAAUACACAUCUUCCCAUGCUUUCCCAUUGACUUGCUUCACAUCUUGAAAGAAUGACCUUGAGACCAGCUCACUGAAAAUCUGUUUACCAAUUGUUUCAUGACGAACAUCUUUUUGUUCAGGAAUAAAGUCAUUUGCCAUCCAUAGUUGGAUCAGCAUUUCCACGUUAAUCUCAUGGUCCUUGGGAAACACAGCACAGAAAGCAAAGCACUGCUUCAUGUGUGAUGGCAGGUCAUCGUAACUGAGCUUGAGAAUAGGCAGGAUUUGAUCAUCCUUGUUAUGGGCGAUGCUUUUGCUAAGCACAGCCUUCCAUUCUUCCGUUAUCUUGCCACGUAGUACAGAUCCUAGUGCCUUCGCUGCCAAUGGAGACCCUGCACAUCUCUCAACAACGUCAUCAACCAAGCCAGCUAAAUCAGUUGGUUUUCUCUCUUGCGAAAUGAAUGCUUUAGCCUCAAUAAUUUCCUUGAUGAAUUUAUUGUCCAAAUGUGCAAUGUCAUGUCCUUUAACUGUACCCAUGAGUUGAGCUAUUUUUUUAUCACGGGUUGUCGUUAGUAUGGCGCUACCAACAUCACCAUGUUUAAGACAGACAUUCAGCUUGUUCCACUUGUUAUCAUCCUUAUUCCAGACGUCGUCCAAUACAAGAAGGUACCUGUUACAAAUAAUCAUGCCAUUAGUGCGUUUCUAUUUGAGCACGUCUUUUUCUUAAGUUAUGUGAGAUGUGCAAGUGCCGUGCAUAUCCAGAGGGCAACUUGCCAGUGGUGAGGUAUUGUUGUCUUCUUGAUUUCAAUGCUGGUUGCUGGGACCUCAAAACAAGAGGCGUGGUUAGCUUUUGCAGCUCCUUAGCGUGAGUCGAGGGAGCAGAAAAAGAUGAAAUGUUUUUUUUACUGCUGACCUUUUGAAGAUCUAUUCACCUAAAAUUUUCGAUCAAAUGAUUCUAAAAUUUUCUAUUCACAUGUGAAUGUUCAAGAUCGGAUGUUUUGCCUUAAUUAAAAAAAAUGUUGGAUGUUGCCUUCUAUGUGUACGACUUGACAUGAUGUGUGCGUGUACAUUUUUCAUAGUUUCUUCAAGUGUAUGAAGUUCACUAGCACUAGCAAUUAAAAGUCUAUGUGGAUCUAAGUUUGAAGUUGAAUUUUGUGUAUGUAGUUUGCAUGUGCUUUACUUGUCCUUUUUAAUUAUGUGUUAUUCUCAAGGGCAAUGCACAUAUUUUGAGCGUGUGUGAGGGGAAAAAAACCCGUGUGCGUGUUUGAGAUGAGUGAAUCAACAUCAAUUUAAUAAAUUCUAAAAGUACCUCUUUCCAGCAAGUUUUCUUUGAAGGUUCUGCAAGGCACUCUCCAGGUUGCUCUCAGAAGCGUUGCAGAUCUUAUUGGCAAGGUUACAAACAUCGAAAUCAUCAUCUGACACGCAGACCCACUUCAUUAGUUGGUGGAAAUGCUUCUUCACUUGAGGGUCAUUAUAGAUGAGCUGAGCUAGGGUGGUCUUGCCCAACCCACCCAUUCCAACAAUGGGAACGACCAUCGGAUCCUUAUUGUUAGCUUGUUCUUUGACCAACAUUCUAACAAUCUUUUGCUUCUCUUCAUCUCUGGAUCUGCUGACAAUCUCUGGGUCAACCAUGGUGGAGUCAUUCUCACGCAGAUAAUUUAUCUGAACCUGCGCUUGUGGCUGUUUGUCGAACCCAAAGUUGCGCAUAUGCUCGACAAGGGCCUCAGUAUCGCGCACAAUCUUGCGAAGCUUGUUGCCCAUCUUGUAACGGAACAUGAUGCGGUUGCCCAUCCCGAGCUCGAUGUAGCGCCCCUCUUUCUUGGCUUGACGACGGAGGGCCUCAUAGUUGAAUUCAUCGAAGACUUGGAUGGCCUCGUAUGCCGCCACCUUAAGCUUCUCAAGCCAGGGUCUGAUUGCUUCUCUGGAGGUUGCCUGCUUCUCUGCGUCAGUGAUCUUUUCCAGGAUGGCCGGCAGCAUGACCUUGAGCUUCUCAUGCUGCUCCUCCAUGCCCUCCAUCACCUUGUACUGGUCUAGGAGGUAGCUGGACGCCUUCUCCUUCACCAGGGACAGAAGUGGCCCGACCACCAUGCUGCCCACAAGCUCGGCCAUUGGAGCAGUCAGAGCUCACGAGAACGCACGCUGAGAAAUGAGAACACACUUUGGAGUGGAGAAGAGGAUGGUUUGCGGAAGCGCUUUGGAGGUAAAUGGAGACCAACGCCAAGCACUGACCUUCUUGGGCGCCUAGGCUGACAGAGCAGCAGUAGCAGAGGCGGGGCAGUAGCGGUCGCAGCGGAGGGGCCGGCGGCGUACGGGAAGAGAAGAUAGAGAAGAGGAUAUGUUUCUGCAAGACUUGCAAUGGCAGAAGGAGAAGACUAGCAUGGAAGACUUGUGCUCAGCUCACAACAGGAGCCAUAAAAUAAGCAAAGGAUCAGAAGAUGAUAGACAAGUCCAAGCUAUUUUUAUAAGCUGAUGAUGACAGGUGUGGAUGCUGUUGGCUGUGCUUGUGAAGCUGCAGUGUUUCUGUUCACAUCUUAAGGUAAUACUCCUACUUAAUAGUCACAUCCUGGUUUAGUUAUGCUAAUGAUGGAUUGAUCACUGAACAAACGUGUUUACCGGUGCACAGUGUUCAGGUAGCCAUGUGUGUUCAAAGACCAUAUAAGGUCAUGUUUAGUUUUCCUCAAAAUCCCAAAUUUGACACUAUGCAAAGAAGAUUCCUCAUCACAUUAAACUUGCGAUACAUGCAUGGAGUACUAAAUGUAGAUGAAAUCAAAAACUAAUUGCACAGUUUUGUUGUACUUUGCGAGACGAAUCUUUUGAGCCUAAUUAGUCAAUAUUUGGACAAUAAUUCACAAAUACAAACGAAAUGCUACAGUUGCGCAUUUAUGACAAACUCCCAACUUUGACACUCCCAAAUUUGGAACUAAACAAGGCCUAAAUGUUCUGCAUUCUGGAGCAGCCUUUUGCAUUUCCUCGGGUUGCGCUCACAGGGAAAAAGCGAUACCAUUUAUCUAUUGGUCGAGUCACAGUCUUCCAUUUCUUCCACCCAACUUUGGCACUAUGCAAAAAGAAAAUUCUCCAUCACAUCAAAUUUGCGGUACAUGCAUGGAGUACUAAAUGUAGACGAAAUUAAAAACUAAUUGCACAGUUUUGUUGUACUUUGCGAGACGAAUCUUUUGAGCCUAAUUAGUCAAUAUUUAGACAAUAAUUCACAAAUACAAACGAAACACUACAGUGUCGCAUUUAUGGCAGAAUGCUAAUUUUGCCACUCCCAAAUUAGCAAGUAAACAAGGCCCGAUGACUUGGACAAUAAUGAUGUGUACGGUGUACCUACCACUUUUAUUUCGUCGACAAGGUCUCUUGAAUUUAUUUUAUAAAAUUAUUAAUGUGUUAAAAUUUAACUAGUGCCUCACCUUUUCAAAAUGGCACGAUUUGCUCGGUUCCACGAGCUAAAAUUUAGAUAUCCAAUGUUUAGAUACUAAUUAGGAGUAUUAAACAUUUAGACUAAUUACAGAACCAAUUGCAGUUAAUUCACGAGACGAAUCUAUUAAACCUAAUUAAUUCAUGAUUCACGAGACGAAUCUAUUAAACCUAAUUAAUUCAUGAUUACCAGGUUGCUAAUCCGAAGCAUGACAGUAAGAUCAUUGAUAUAUCCGAACCUGAGAACGCACGCUGAGAAAUGAGAACACAGGGAAACACUUUGGAGUGGAGAAGAGGAGUCUGCGGAAGCGCUUUGGAGACCAACGCCAAGCACUGACCUUCUUGGGGCGCUUAAUUUAUUGGUUGUAUCGAAAGCCGUGAUGAUAUUAUUUUGUAUUACGGCUUUCCAGGUGAACUAUUAUAUACAAGUCGCCUUAAAGCAUCAUUACGGCUUUAGAUAGUAAUAUCAAUAAUAUCAUCACGGCUUUCCAUGUGCCAUCACGAGGGUACAGCCUGGUUCACGCCCGUGCCGCUAGGUCCCAUGGCAACGGUGUUGCGUUGUCAGACUUCUGAUCAUUCACUUCAAAAUUCCAACUUUGGCACUAUGCAAAAAGAAGAUUCCCCAUCACAUUAAACUUGUGCUACAUGCAUGGAGUACUGAAUGUAGAUAAAAUUAAAAACUAAUUGCACAGUUUUGUUGUACUUUGCGAGAAGAAUCUUUUAAGCCUAAUUAGUCAAUAUUUGGACAAUAAUUCACAAAUAUAAACGAAACGAUACAGUGUUGCUAUAGUAAUUUUGGCACCCAAAAUUGGGCAACUAAACACGGCCUCAAUUUCCAUGUUCACCGUCACAACACAGUUGAACAGCCACGGAAUAUUCAAGAGGCAAUAAUAGAAUGCAGGAAUCAGUCACUCUCUGUACCAGCUGCACGAGUCACUGUCAUGUGGACUGAAACAAUAAUCGGCGAAGGAUCAUUGAUGAAGCAGAUGUGGCCUCAUUAUUGCUCCCAGCGUCCUUGCUGAGGGAGAGCCGUCAACAACAGCGGGUCUACAUGCAUGUGCUGCCUUGUCACUAGUAGGUCCCAUGGCAGUACUAACAACAGUGUUGCGUUGUCAGCGUGCGAGGACUUCUGGCGCCACUUCUGUGGACGGUAGUGCCUGGUUAGGGCGAGCCAAUGAGCUGGCAUAUGCAUGUGUCGCCUUGUCACUACCUCAACGUUGCAGGUGUUGCACGGUUACUGUCACGUACGAUCAAUCAUGAUAACAAAUAAAAUAGAAAGCUAAGGACAUCUUUAAAAAGGAAUCUCAAAAUGUGGGGAUAGGAAAAACGUAGGAACGCAUGAUAUUUGCAAUUCUAUAAAAAUUGAUAAUGUAUAAAAAUUUGUAAUUGUGUGUUUGGAUGCAACAUAGGAAAAACAAAGAAACGAGAAAAGCGAUAGACACAAAGAAGAGUUUUCAAGAGGUUAGACAUCAUGUUAGAUUUUCUCCAAAAUUCCUAUGGAUUAAACCAUUUCAUACGAAUUUUGAAGGAUUAAAAGGUUGGCCAAUCCUUUGUUCCAAAGGGACAUAAGAAAAAUUCCUAUAAAAUUCAAAUCCUACAAAAUUUCUACAUGUAUCCUAUAUUCCAAAGAGGGUCUAAGAGGGGUCGGGCUCCAUGCGAGAGAUUGGGCUUGGAUGAGAGGUUUGAAGGAGGAAGGAAGGGAAGAGUAAGAAAAAUCUUGAGCUCGAAUACUAGACAACACGCAUCUAACAUCUCUUAAAAUCAGAUAAAUUAACCUCUUUUAUCUAGUCAAAGCAGUUUAGUGAUUUCAUUGUGAAGGACCGAAACGGCGACCAGAGGGGGGUGAAUGGGCGCAAGUUCAAAAAAUAAAGUUUAACACUUCCCCUCCUCUCAAAACCUAAUUAAAUCACGUUUUUCAAAUCUGGACAGAAUACUGUUUCCUUAAUAAAAAAGAUAUGGACAAAAAUCCGUAAGACCGAUCAACCUAAAAAUUUGACAGAAAAAUUCAUACAAAAUUAUGCAACUAACCCAACUGGAAUCAUGUCAAUCGGACUUUCGGAUCUUGAGAUAUUAAAGGAACAAGCAGACUGUACCAGACAAUGACGAGAAUAGAUUAAGCUCUAAUAAGAUGCCCUAGCAUGAUUUUAGAUGGAUCAAAUCAAUCUUAACCUCAGCACAACAUGACGCACAAGCACAUAGAUUAAUUCACUAAUAUGAAAAAUUGAGACAAGUAAUGUGCUUACAAAAGUGCAUCUAGCCUCCGCCCAAACAUCCUCCCUCUCUUAAUUGGAGAGAUCAAUAAAAAUCCCUCACUUAGAUUGAAACCCUAGGCUAGACUAGAGAGAGAUGAACAGGACCUGCGACGAUGAACAGUACCGCGCGUGAACAGUAAUCGCGAGUUACUGUAGCGCCGAGUACUGUAGCGCCGCCUGUAGCAAAAGGGCUCAAACUCUCUCAACCCUAGGUGCCACGUAUUUAUAUCCUUAGGGUGGCACGGCCUAUUUACACAUAACCCCCUACGCUAAAUUUACGCUAAAUAAAUUUAACGUAGGUGCGUAAAUUCCAGUUACGUCCUCCAUGACAAAUUCCGCGAUGUCCGCGAUUCCUCCAUCUCCGUGAUGUGAUCCUCGCGAUGUCGCCGCACGACCAUCUGAAAUCGUAUCGCAAUCGCCGGAAUUUCCAUCUUCGGCCAACGUGUGGCGGAACCGCCCAACUUAAGCUGGUUUAAGUGCGCCUAAUCGCUGUCGGAGCAGCGAUUAUCCGAAACGCACCUAAAACAGCAUAAGUCCGGUAGUCCGUCGAGUGUCCCUAGGACUCCUCAAAAGAUCCACGGCUUGUUUCAUCACCAUACAUCAGGAUAAUAUCCGCGAUGGGAUAAUAUCAACAAAUAUUACAUUUUUACAUACGUAAUUAAGAGGUACGAGUUAUUACAAGACUUCAAGUUGAAACAAACUUAGUGAUGCAUAGUUAGACAAGCUCUAAGAUUAAACAUAAGUAGUUUAGGAGAAGAUGCGUCGAUAACGGUUUUCUAGAGUAUUGAGAGACUCAGGUCAAUACUCUAGGUCUUCGGGGUCUCCUCUUCGACAGCUUCUUGGGUAGCUUCUGAAAGAUAACCACAAGGGGAAAACCCUGAGUACGGGGUACUCAGCAAGUCUUACCCGACUAACCAAUAUAAUAGUUUUUCUUUGGAAUGCAUGUCAGCCUUUGGGUGUGCUUGGUUGACAUGAUUUUUGCCGAAAAAGCUUACUAUGAGUGAGGCCUUAGUUUUGUCUUUUAAUUUAGUUAAGUUGUUACCUAACCAUUCUAGGUGAUAACAGAAGUAAAAACAAUCACAGCUGUUGAUUCAUACAAUACUUGGCAACAGAAAAUUUUAUAUCACAUGAGUUCAUGCUACGAAGCUCAACAGUGAUCAAGUGCAUUCAUAACCGAGAAUUGCGGCGAUCCGGAUCAAUUUACAUCCUGCAGGAGAGUACCCCGAUCACCAGCAUUAUACGACUGUCCAGGUCGUACUAGCAACCUCUCGGUUAGUAAAGUCAAUGAUUAGGAACACAACUACCCGGACCCAGGGAUGCACCCCCACAUGGGACCCCACGUCUGGCCCGAUCUCCAUGUGAGUUUCAGGCUACACCCCUGCCAAUCUCCAGCACGUCAAAUGCGGGUACGAAGCAUUCCUGAUCAUAGAAUUUACUAACCUACUGGGCUUUACUGGUCCCAUACCCAGUAAGUGAUCAGAUGUUAUCACUUGAUCAGCGGUUAAGACACGGCCCGGUCCUUAAGCAGAUUAAUAAGCAGACAGAACUACAUCUCUAGCUUCUGUCUGGUUCUAUACUUCAAACUAUCUUUCCUAAACAGCAUGUAUGAUCAAGAGUUUUCCCUAAGGUUGGUAAACCAAGCAUGUAAGCGAGUAAGCAAUUCUAGACUUGGGUAGUUUCUAGGAUUUGAACAAGUGGCAAAGAUGUCCCUAAUUCAAGGCAUGAUCAUACACAAGAAUAGGUUUCAUCCAACUCCUAGACCUAGUGCAUACAAUAACCAAUUAACCUACAACUAGUCACAUGAAAUAACGACUCCAAAAUAGAUAGGUAUAAAUGCACCGGGGCUUGCCUUGAUCGUUAAAAAGAUUAGUAGACACCGACGGAUUCGCUUCACAGGGAACAAAUUCAAACACCUCGUCGGACUCCAAAGGUCCUUCUGAAAAUUCCCAGUAAUCCUCUUCUGGCGCUUCUGGAUCUAUGGUACAUACAUGCAGGGGUUAGAAUGCAAACUUUUUAAAUAACAGACUUUACAACUUUCCUUCAUGAUAAAGUUGCAAGCCAACAAAGACUAUACGACUUAUCAUGAAUAAGUUGUAAGUCAACACACAAAAGAAAUCUAAGAAGAUUAACCUCUAUUUUUAUUUUCUUAAUUACCCCUUCCUAUAGCUUUUUCUUUUAUUUUUAGAAAAAGUGGUAAUUACUUUCUAACUUGAACAUCUAAUUUCCUAUGAGUUAAGAAUUAUUUGUGAUUGAUAAAGUAUUAUUCAUAUUUUUAUACAUUUUAUAAAUACUAAGUAUUUACUUAAUUACCUUAAAAGGAAGGCAUUAAAUAAAUACCUAAUUUUUUUAUUAUUUUCCUAGGGUGUAAAAAUUUUAAUGCAUAAAGGAAAAUAAAACAAACCUAACAAAAUUGGUUUCACUAAUUUUGGACACUCCUACAAAUUUCUGUGAUUAAAAUGGUGUAAAACGAAUUUAAACGGAUUAUUUUGCUAAAGAAAUCUAAUUUUUCCCCGAAAUUCCCCCGGAAAACUUUUCUCACCCACCCACACUCUACCCUCACACGCGAACACUGGGCCUCCCCACGGCGCGGACCCCACCUUCCUGUUCAAUCUACCCGCCGGCCUUAACCUCCUUCCGACGGGCCUCGCGGGCCGAUUUCCUCUUCCCUUAUCUCCUGGUAGCCCAGCACCGGCCCACGGCCCCUUUUUCCUUUCCUUCCUUUCUCACGCGACGCCGGCCUGCGUCGCUGCCCUGGGCCUCCGGCCUUUUCUUUCCCGGUCACCCGCGCGCACCACUGGGCCUCAACACGCCGGCCCAAGACGGCCGCACCGCUCUGGCCCGCGCCUUCCUCCCCUUCUCUCUUACUGACAUGCGGGCCCGGUGCACAGCACCUUCUUCCUCCUCCCGCCAAAAGGGCGACCGGAACAGGGGGCGGCGCGGCUCGCCGGCCGGCGCCCUCCCGGCGGCGGGUCUUGACGACGACACCAACCCUAACCCUACACGACCUCGCGCGCGGCGACAGCUCCCCUGGGGACAACCGGAGCUACCUCCUCCACGGCGACGGGCGGCAACACCCACGGCCGGCCAUCGUUACCCGUGACAACUACUUAACUGACUCAACCGACUACUUCUACUCCAUCCUGAAACCCUAAGAACUCGACCACGACUGCUCAAGGAAGAAGAAAAGUAGUGCAAGGUGGUUCUCACCGUGAGUGGGCGGCGCGACGGCGGCGGACAGAAGCGGCGGCGAUACAAGGUGUCACGGCGAAGAAGCUGGGCAACAAGUGGGUAGGGCUACUGGUGGGGUGUAGGCGGAGGUGUGGACGGAAGGAAUCGACGGGAGCGGCGGCGUGGAGGUGGAAUUUUGCUUGGCGGCGGUGUCUGGUAGAAGAGGCACGGGCGGCGGUAAAAAGAGCGGCGGUGAAAACGGCGGCGCGGGAGCGGUAGAUAUUCAAGGGUUUCACCGCGCGCAUGGGUGACACCGUGGCCUACCCGUAGGUGUAUGUGGCGAGGAGGUGGCCUAGCUUAGCUGUGCUGGCGGACGACCGACGACGGCGGCGGCGACACGUCUGGAGUUCCUGUCACUGCUUCUCCCGCCCGUGAUCUUCAGAUGCCAAUCGUGGUUGAUCCUUGAUCCAACGGCACACCGAUGUUUAAAGGAAGUUACAGAUAAACUUGAAAUUUCCAUCUUUUGUUUUGACUUCACCCCGAGAUAAUCAUCAAACCGGUGGAAUUUGGAGAUGUUGCUCGAGUUGAUUCUGAAUCGACUGAAUCAAAAGUUCAGUUCGUCAGUCACCGACAGUAGUGCCGACUUCAACUUGCCAAUCCAAUUCAGUGGCCUAAAUCUGGCGUUUCCAACUCAACUUUUACCCAAACAUGCUCUAUAUUGUCCCAAUGUUCCAUUUUGAUCAUAAACAAGUACCCUCCUUGAUCUAAUUUGCUCUGAAAUUGAAUUCAAAGUUGAUGCCUAGCUGCUGUUCAGACUUAGGCAUUUUUCAGAGUUUCAGUUAACUCGUGAUAAUGUGCUGACUUUGGGCUGGAAUUUGACUCCCUUCCUCUUACUGAUCCUGGCCAACAAUACAUGAUUAUUGUAGUCCAAAGUCUAUAUUUCAACAUGGUAUAGUUGUUCUGGUGCACUUAGUUGCAAAUUCUUCCAGAAUUAAAUUUCCAAAUCAGACUCUGAGCUGUUUUUACUGAAUCCUGUUGUCGGACGAGGAAUAGUAAACGGCUUUUUCUUCUUCUUUUCUCUGAUUCUUCUGAGAGAUUUAGCACUAGCUUGGUUCCAAAUUUUUGAUCCUUUAGUCCUAAACACUCUUAUACUUGUACUCCACACAUUUGACAAAUUUUUCUGAAUUUCAAAUUUGAAAUUCAAAUUUCGGUCAAAAUUUGGCCGAAUUUGACCCUUUUGCCAUUUUUCCUUCUUUUUCUUUUGAAUUUUCUUCUGAAUUUUUCAUGGUUACUAUAUUAUUAUGAAUGGCAUUUAUUACAGCCUCUCCCCCUUAACAGAAUCUCGUCCCGAGAUUCCUGGGGGUAGAUCCUUGUUUUUUUUUUUGAAUGGAAAGGGAACUGCGUCAGGUCAUUUAUCCUUUCUUUUUCUGUACAAGGAUAGUGGGGUGGUGGUCCUUGUUCAUUUGUCCCUGACGGUUUCAAACAACUCCGGAUAUUUAGACUCUAGGUCUUCCGCUUUUUCCCAAGUAGCUUCGUCCGGAGUAUGAUUUUUCCAUUGCACUUUAUAAAACGUGAUACUCCGAGUUCGGGUAUCGCGUGUCUUUUGAUCCAUAAUUCUAAUAGGUUUCUCCUCAUAUGUUAGAUCCGGUUCGAGCUCAAUUUCUGGAUCCUCCAAAAUUUCUUCUGGAACUCUUAGGCAUUUCUUAAGCUGGGAUACAUGAAAUACAUCAUGUAUAGAGGUAAGUUGAUCAGGCAACGAUAGUUUAUAUGCCACGGGACCUUUUUGUUCUAGAAUUUCAUAGGGGCCAAUGUAUCUCGGGGCUAGCUUACCUUUUAUUCCAAAGCAUUGUACGCCUUUCAUUGGGGAUACUUUUAAGUAUACAAAAUCUCCGGCAGAAAAUUCCAAGAACCGUCUUCUUUUAUCGGAAUAACUCUUUUGCCGGGAUUGAGCUAUUUCCAAAUGCUUGCGAAUUUUCUGGAUCUUUUCCUCGGUUUCCAUAACCAAGUCUGAUCCUAGAUGUGUCCUUUCUCCUACUCCUGACCAAUUUAAAGGAGUUCGGCAUCUUCGACCAUACAAGGCUUCGAAUGGUGCCAUCUUAAUGCUAGCUUGAUAGCUAUUAUUAUAGGAGAACUCAGCUAGGGGCAAACAUUCGUCCCAUAGCUUAGAGAAAGUAAGGACACAUGCUCUUAACAUAUCUUCCAAAAUUUGAUUAACCCUUUCUGUCUGUCCUCCAGUUUGAGGAUGAUAAGCAGAACUUCUAAUGAGGGUAGUACCCAUGUCCUCUUGCAGUUGCUCCCAGAAUCUGGAAACAAACUGGGAACCUCGAUCGGAAAUAAUGGUUUUUGGCACUCCGUGCAAAGAUACAAUCCGGGCUAUAUAGAGUUUGGCAUAUGUCGUCACGUGGUAAGUAGCCUUAACUGGAAUAAAAUGAGCUGACUUAGUAAGACGGUCGACAAUAACCCAAAUGGAAUCAUACCCCUUAGAAGUGGUAGGUAAUCCUACUAUGAAAUCCAUAGAAAUAUCUUCCCAUUUCCAGAUAGGAAUCUCUGAGGGUUGUAACAGACCUGCCGACUUCUGUAAUAUGGGUUUAACUCUUUGGCAAGUGUCACAUUCUGACACAUAUCUUGCAAUUUUUGGUUUCAUUUUGGCCCACCAAAAUCUUUGCUUUAAAUCUUGGUACAUUUUAUUGGUUCCGGGAUGAAUGGAGAACUUGGAUGAAUGUGCUUCUUCUAGAAUUAAUCUUCUCAGGUUUUUACCCUCCGGAACUACUAUCCGGUUCUUGAAAUAUAGUCCUCCGUCUUCUUCUUGAUGAAGUUCAGGAACCUUCCCCUUGGCUUUUUGCUGAUAAAGUGUUUUAAUCCAUGGGUCUUCUUUUUGGGCCGUUAUGAUUCUUUCUUUUAGGGUAUCUUGAAUCAUAACAUUCUGGAGGGUACCUGGUUUUACUAUUUCCAAACUUAAUUCUCCCAUUUCUUCGCACAGAGUCUUCAAGUUAGACUGAAUGGUCGUGCAGUGGCAUUGGGCCUUUCUGCUUAAGGCGUCGGCCACCACGUUAGCUUUACCAGGAUGGUAAUGAAUUUCUAGUUUAUAAUCUUUAAUCAGCUCUAGCCACCGCCUUUGCCUCAUAUUCAAGUCCAUUUGAGUGAAUAUAUACUUCAAGCUCUUGUGGUCAGUAAAGAUACGACAUUCACUACCUAAAAGAUAGUGUCGCCAUAUUUUUAGUGCAUGCACUACGGCAGCAAGUUCUAAGUCAUGAGUAGGGUAAUGCUCUUCAUGACGUUUCAAUUGGCGAGAAGCAUAAGCAAUAACCCUGCCUUCUUGCAUUAGAACACACCCGAUGCCUGUUCCUGAGGCAUCACAGUAUACAUCAAAGGGUUUCUCUAUAUCAGGUUGAGCUAACACUGGGGCUGUAGUCAAUAACUUUUUCAAGAUUUGAAAUGAUUCUUCACACUCUGGUUUCCAUUCAAACUUUGUAUCCUUCUUUAAUAACUCAGUGAUUGGCUUAGAAACUUUAGAGAAAUUGGGAAUGAACCUACGGUAAUAACCAGCCAUUCCCAAGAAGCUUCUUACUUCAUGAACAGAAGUGGGUGAUUUCCACUCCAAUAUAUCCUUGACUUUUCCGGGAUCUACUUCAAUUCCUUUUUCGGACAGUAUAUGCCCAAGGAAUGGAACUUUCUUCAACCAAAAUUCACACUUACUAAAUUUGGCAUAUAACUGGUGUUCCCGGAGUCUAUUUAGAACAAUGCGCAAAUGUUGCGCAUGUUCCUCUUCAUUUUUAGAAAAGACAAGGAUAUCAUCUAUAAAGACAACCACAAAUUUGUCCAGUUCCGGCAUGAAUACUGAAUUCAUGAGAUACAUAAAAUGCGCUGGGGCAUUUGUCAAUCCGAAAGACAUAACCAAAUACUCAUAUAGUCCAUACCGGGUGGAAAAGGCUGUUUUUGGUAUGUCCUCGGGUUUUAUCUUAAUCUGGUGGUAUCCUGACCGAAGGUCGAUUUUUGAAAAGACCUUAGCUCCAGACAACUGGUCGAACAACAAGUCAAUCCGUGGCAGUGGAUAUUUAUUUUUGAUGGUUACCGCAUUCAAGGGACGGUAAUCCACACAUAGCCUUAAGGUACCAUCCUUCUUCUUAACAAAGAGAGCUGGGCAACCCCAUGGUGAAGUACUGGGUCGGACAAAACCUUUAUCCAACAAUUCUUGGAGUUGUGUUUUUAAUUCUGCUAGCUCUUUAGGUGGCAUUCGAUACGGUCUUCUAGAGAUAGGGGCGGUGCCGGGUUCUAAUUCAAUAGUGAAUUCUACCGCUCUGUCAGGCGGUAGCCCAGGCAAAUCUUCUGGAAAUACAUCUAGGAACUCAUUAACAACAGGAAUAGAUUCUAGAGUCACUGCUCUAGUCUUUUUGACCAUUUGGUCCAAACAGGGUUGAACGGGUAACUGGAGUUCGAAAGAAUGGCCCUGGUCAUCUUUUAGGUUAACAACCCGUGUAACCACAUUAAUUUGAACUUCAUGUGCUUUCAUCCAAUUUACCCCCAAAAUAAUAUCUAUUCCUUGAUCUUCCAAAAUUAAAGGAUAAGCUCCCACCUUAUUUCCUUCUAGGUUUAAAAUCACAUUGCGAGCUACUUGAUUGGUAUUCUGUGUGGCACCAGUAGCUUGAAUAGCAUAUUUGACAUCUAAGGUAUGAACUUCUAGUUGAUGUUGCGUGACAAACUCUUUACUUAUAAAAGUAUGUGAUGCACCGGAAUCAAACAAAACCAUAGCAGGAUAAUUGUUAACAAGGUACGUACCUGCUAGGAUUGGUUCUCCUUCUGGAAUUUCUUCUACAGUCAUAUAGUGAGCCUGUCCUGUCUUGGUAUUAACAAACUUGCGACGGACAAACUUUUGUCCAGAGCCUUGGGCCGAGGUUUGAGCCUUUAAGUUCGCGUUUCCCCCAAUUUUGGGAAAACGACAAUCUCGGGCGAAAUGUCCUGGCUUCCCACAGUUGAAACAAACCUGUGGGGUUCCUGAAGGAGUAGGGUUACGAAACCCAAAAGAUGGUGCAGUUCCAGGACGAGGAGCAACACUGGGAGCUCUGGCAUUCCAGGACUGGAAUGGUCGUUGCUGGAAUGGAGGACGAUACAUGGGUCGGGGAGGACCUCUAUAUACCAUCCUCAUCCUCUGAGGAGCAUUUCCAAAAUUUCCAGAAGGAACAGCCUUCCUCUUUAAUGCUUCUUCUUUCUUUAAUGUUUCAUCCAAUGCUUUCAUCUUUUCUUCUGCGGUAAUGGCUGUGCUUACCGCGGAACUGUAAUUAGCGAACGUGCAGGUGGAUAACUUCUCUUGCAUUCUGGUAUUAAGCCCUCGGAGAUAACAAUCCCUCUUUCUGGUUUCAGUAUUAACAUGCUCUGGGGCAUAUUGAGCUAAGUGGUCGAACUCAUUGGUAUAUGCUAGAAUGCUGCGAGUUCCUUGUUGCAGUCCCAAGAACUGUUCCAGCUUCAUCCUCAUGACGCCCUCGGGUAUAAACUGCGCCCGGAAGGCUUCCUUAAAGUCUUCCCAUGUGACUUCCCUUCCCACUGGCUGCCUAGCCAGAUGACUGGUCCACCAAGUUGCUGCGGGACCUUGAAGCUGAAGCCCCGCAAACUCGGCCUUCUGAAUGGCAGUACAUUGGGGGAUUACUCGAAAUUUCUGCUCCAUGGCCUGAAGCCACUCAUUAGCUUCCAAAGGAUGCUCAGCUUUUAAGAAGACUGGGGGACGUGUUUCCAGAAAUUGGGUGUAGGACACCCCCUGCUCCGGCUCUCUUCUACGUCCACCGUUGCCGGUAUUCUGUACUAUCAUCUGGAGUAAGCGGGCUUGCUCUGCCCCAGAAUUCAUCAAACUAGCUAUUGCGUCAGCCAAUGUAGGUGCUCGGGGUAAAUCCUCUUCCUGUCCUCCGGAGCCUGAAGCUCGGGGUUCUCUGGGAUCCGUCAUGCUGCCAAGAGUAACAAGAUGUCAAUAUCUACGGUGCAUUCUUAUCAACAACUCUCUGCAUACUAACAUAUCACACAUCACAGUAUGCAUAUACACAAACCAUGCUUAUAUACAUACUUAUUUAUAUUACAUGCCUAGGAGUUAAUAUUUACAAAACCCCUUGGUGCCACUUGUUCAUCACUCAUAUCUUACAAGAAUAUAUUACAACAUGUUCCAACCAAGUUCAUGUCAACCGUCAUAAGGAAAAAUGCCCAGUUCUUCGGCAUUUAAGCCCAGUCGUGCCAUGGCUUCUUGCAGGACGUCUUGGUCCACGGUCAUCAAGGUUUGCCCUGGGGGAGCAACAGGUGGAGCUUGAUUGACAGAAUUCUCGCUUCCGGACUCUGAUCCGUAAUCACUCCAAGUGCGAGAAGUAUCAGAGGUGCUAAUUCCAGAAUUUCCUUCCAUCUCUUCUGGUUCCUCUUCUUCUUCGCCUUCCUGUUCUUCUUCUCCCCACUGUUGCAUGGGACCAUAGCCCUGAGGAUCUAGUCCAUCGGCAUUGGCAUUGGCCCACGCAAACUGCUGAUUACCCACAGGGACCUCGUCCUGAUCAUCUUCCAUAUCCACAUCAAAGCCUUCUAGAUUCUCGUGAGCAUAUAAAUCUAUUUCAGGAUCGGCCGGUGGCACUGGAUCUUCUUCCAUUUCUAGCACAGGCACCAACUGAUCUACUUCCUCCGGGUUCUGUGGUUGAGGCUCUUCUGGUGGGGGAGGUGGUGGAAUAUUAAUCAUAUUUUGUGCCGGUACUUGAGCUUGCAUUUCUUCUAGGGCUAGACGAAGUGACAGGAUUUCGUCUAGCUGCUGAAAUCUCUCCGCCUCCAGCCUGUGGACAUUGGAUUCAGCUUCUUCUCUUGCUCUAUCUGCCAUGCUUCGACUUGCUUCGAUGAACCCUUGCAGCGCCCGAAGUUUUUCUUCAUAAUCUUCAAUUCGCCUGGACUGCUCUCGCAUUGCUUUCUCCAUCUCGUGCUCCCUUGCCAUUGCUGCCUUCUUGUACAUUUUCUUGUCAUACCGGGCACCCAUUGCUUCCAUCUUAGUAUCUUCAUUCUUCUGUCUUUGAUUGUAAUACUCCCGGAUACAAGCUUGAUGUAGAUUGUACAUAGCGGUCAUGUAGUCAGAAGCAGCAGCUACCAACACAUCGUGCUCCACACGAGAUGUGUUCUUCAAGGCUUUGAUCCUCCGCUUCCAUACCCCGUCAUCUUGAUGCUUGAUUGGAUAUAAUCGAGCAGAGCUCGACCCUAUUUCCACUUUAUGAUUCUCACAUAGCUCAGUAAGAGCCGUCAUGGCUGCCCUUUCUAUAGUAUCAUGGAAUUCGAAACCCGAUUCCAUUACUUCCUCCAGGCGCCAAUUAGGUCGGGUAUCAUCAUCCGGAAUAUGCACAUACACUGUGCAAUAUUGCUUAUGUCCAGUAUCUUCCUUUCUCCAAUAAUACUCUGGGGAAUUAUGGAAACCCAACUCUUGUAGUGUCUUCCAGAGUAACUGUACAAACCCUGGCUUAUCCAGAUAACGACCACGAGUCCACCCAUCCCUAUCCGUGUAACCUUCUUCAAACAUCCUAUAAAAAGAAAAGAGAUCAGGUCUAGCGGCACUCACCAAACCCAAAAGUUUUUAAACAUGCAAUGCAUUUAUGAUGCAACGGUUCCUACGUACUUUCAGACUCAUAUACACACUCGUAGAAAAAUUGGUGGCAUCGUAAUCUCUCCCUAAUAAACUAUCGAAUACUAGCGACACGCAGCAAACAGUUAGCAUCUGCAAAACAAUCAACCGGUUAACACUACUGCCACCUGUGACUCUUGUUUUUAUUAUUUUAAAAUAGAGUCUCAGUAUUUGAAAAGUAAUAUUUGUUGAUUAUCCCAACCUACGGCUCUGAUACCAGCUGUGGCGGAACCGCCCAACUUAAGCUGGUUUAAGUGCGCCUAAUCGCUGUCGGAGCAGCGAUUAUCCGAAACGCACCUAAAACAGCAUAAGUCCGGUAGUCCGUCGAGUGUCCCUAGGACUCCUCGAAAGAUCCACGGCUUGUUUCAUCACCAUACAUCAGGAUAAUAUCCGCGAUGGGAUAAUAUCAACAAAUAUUACAUUUUUACAUACGUAAUUAAGAGGUACGAGUUAUUACAAGACUUCAAGUUGAAACAAACUUAGUGAUGCAUAGUUAGACAAGCUCUAAGAUUAAACAUAAGUAGUUUAGGAGAAGAUGCGUCGAUAACGGUUUUCUAGAGUAUUGAGAGACUCAGGUCAAUACUCUAGGUCUUCGGGGUCUCCUCUUCGACAGCUUCUUGGGUAGCUUCUGAAAGAUAACCACAAGGGGAAAACCCUGAGUACGGGGUACUCAGCAAGUCUUACCCGACUAACCAAUAUAAUAGUUUUUCUUUGGAAUGCAUGUCAGCCUUUGGGUGUGCUUGGUUGACAUGAUUUUUGCCGAAAAAGCUUACUAUGAGUGAGGCCUUAGUUUUGUCUUUUAAUUUAGUUAAGUUGUUACCUAACCAUUCUAGGUGAUAACAGAAGUAAAAACAAUCACAGCUGUUGAUUCAUACAAUACUUGGCAAUAGAAAAUUUUAUAUCACAUGAGUUCAUGCUACGAAGCUCAACAGUGAUCAAGUGCAUUCAUAACCGAGAAUUGCGGCGAUCCGGAUCAAUUUACAUCCUGCAGGAGAGUACCCCGAUCACCAGCAUUAUACGACUGUCCAGGUCGUACUAGCAACCUCUCGGUUAGUAAAGUCAAUGAUUAGGAACACAACUACCCGGACCCAGGGAUGCACCCCCACAUGGGACCCCACGUCUGGCCCGAUCUCCAUGUGAGUUUCAGGCUACACCCCUGCCAAUAUCCAGCACGUCAAAUGCGGGUACGAAGCAUUCCUGAUCAUAGAAUUUACUAACCUACUGGGCUUUACUGGUCCCAUACCCAGUAAGUGAUCAGAUGUUAUCACUUGAUCAGCGGUUAAGACACGGCCCGGUCCUUAAGCAGAUUAAUAAGCAGACAGAACUACAUCUCUAGCUUCUGUCUGGUUCUAUACUUCAAACUAUCUUUCCUAAACAGCAUGUAUGAUCAAGAGUUUUCCCUAAGGUUGGUAAACCAAGCAUGUAAGCGAGUAAGCAAUUCUAGACUUGGGUAGUUUCUAGGAUUUGAACAAGUGGCAAAGAUGUCCCUAAUUCAAGGCAUGAUCAUACACAAGAAUAGGUUUCAUCCAACUCCUAGACCUAGUGCAUACAAUAACCAAUUAACCUACAACUAGUCACAUGAAAUAACGACUCCAAAAUAGAUAGGUAUAAAUGCACCGGGGCUUGCCUUGAUCGUUAAAAAGAUUAGUAGACACCGACGGAUUCGCUUCACAGGGAACAAAUUCAAACACCUCGUCGGACUCCAAAGGUCCUUCUGAAAAUUCCCAGUAAUCCUCUUCUGGCGCUUCUGGAUCUAUGGUACAUACAUGCAGGGGUUACAAUGCAAACUUUUUAAAUAACAGACUUUACAACUUUCCUUCAUGAUAAAGUUGCAAGCCAACAAAGACUAUACGACUUAUCAUGAAUAAGUUGUAAGUCAACACACAAAAGAAAUCUAAGAAGAUUAACCUCUAUUUUUAUUUUCUUAAUUACCCCUUCCUAUAGCGUUUUCUUUUAUUUUUAGAAAAAGUGGUAAUUACUUUCUAACUUUAACAUCUAAUUUCCUAUGAGUUAAGAAUUAUUUGUGAUUGAUAAAGUAUUAUUCAUAUUUUUAUACAUUUUAUAAAUACUAAGUAUUUACUUAAUUACCUUAAAAGGAAGGCAUUAAAUAAAUACCUAAUUUUUUUAUUAUUUUCCUAGGGUGUAAAAAUUUUAAUGCAUAAAGGAAAAUAAAACAAACCUAACAAAAUUGGUUUCACUAAUUUUGGACACUCCUACAAAUUUCUGUGAUUAAAAUGGUGUAAAACGAAUUUAAACGGAUUAUUUUGCUAAAGAAAUCUAAUUUUUUCCCGAAAUUCCCCCCGGAAAACUUUUCUCACCCACCCACACUCUACCCUCACACGCGAACACUGGGCCUCCCCACGGCACGGACCCCACCUUCCUGUUCAAUCUACCCGCCGGCCUUAACCUCCUUCCGACGGGCCUCGCGGGCCGAUUUCCUCUUCCCUUAUCUCCUGGUAGCCCAGCACCGGCCCACGGCCCCUUUUUCCUUUCCUUCCUUUCUCACGCGACGCCGGCCUGCGUCGCUGCCCUGGGCCUCCGGCCUUUUCUUUCCCGGUCACCCGCGCGCACCACUGGGCCUCAACACGCCGGCCCAAGACGGCCGCACCGCUCUGGCCCGCGCCUUCCUCCCCUUCUCUCUUACUGACAUGCGGGCUCGGUGCACAGCACCUUCUUCCUCCUCCCGCCAAAAGGGCGACCGGAACAGGGGGCGACGCGGCUCGCCGGCCGGCGCCCUCCCGGCGGCGGGUCUUGACGACGACACCAACCCUAACCCUACACGACCUCGCGCGCGGCGACAGCUCCCCUGGGGACAACCGGAGCUACCUCCUCCACGGCGACGGGCGGCAACACCCACGGCCGGCCAUCGUUACCCGUGACAACUACUUAACUGACUCAACCGACUACUUCUACUCCAUCCUGAAACCCUAAGAACUCGACCACGACUGCUCAAGGAAGAAGAAAAGUAGCGCAAGGUGGUUCUCACCGUGAGUGGGCGGCGCGACGGCGGCGGACAGAAGCGGCGGCGAUACAAGGUGUCACGGCGAAGAAGCUGGGCAACAAGUGGGUAGGGCUACUGGUGGGGUGUAGGCGGAGGUGUGGACGGAAGGAAUCGACGGGAGCGGCGGCGUGGAGGUGGAAUUUUGCUUGGCGGCGGUGUCUGGUAGAAGAGGCACGGGCGGCGGUAAAAAGAGCGGCGGUGAAAACGGCGGCGCGGGAGCGGUAGAUAUUCAAGGGUUUCACCGCGCGCAUGGGUGACACCGUGGCCUACCCGUAGGUGUAUGUGGCGAGGAGGUGGCCUAGCUUAGCUGUGCUGGCGGACGACCGACGACGGCGGCGGCGACACGUCUGGAGUUCCUGUCACUGCUUCUCCCGCCCGUGAUCUUCAGAUGCCAAUCGUGGUUGAUCCUUGAUCCAACGGCACACCGAUGUUUAAAGGAAGUUACAGAUAAACUUGAAAUUUCCAUCUUUUGUUUUGACUUCACCCCGAGAUAAUCAUCAAACCGGUGGAAUUUGGAGAUGUUGCUCGAGUUGAUUCUGAAUCGACUGAAUCAAAAGUUCAGUUCGUCAGUCACCGACAGUAGUGCCGACUUCAACUUGCCAAUCCAAUUCAGUGGCCUAAAUCUGGCGUUUCCAACUCAACUUUUACCCAAACAUGCUCUAUAUUGUCCCAAUGUUCCAUUUUGAUCAUAAACCAGUACCCUCCUUGAUCUAAUUUGCUCUGAAAUUGAAUUCAAAGUUGAUGCCUAGCUGCUGUUCAGACUUAGGCAUUUUUCAGAGUUUCAGUUAACUCGUGAUAAUGUGCUGACUUUGGGCUGGAAUUUGACUCCCUUCCUCUUACUGAUCCUGGCCAACAAUACAUGAUUAUUGUAGUCCAAAGUCUAUAUUUCAACAUGGUAUAGUUGUUCUGGUGCACUUAGUUGCAAAUUCUUCCAGAAUUAAAUUUCCAAAUCAGACUCUGAGCUGUUUUUACUGAAUCCUGUUGUCGGACGAGGAACAGUAAACGGCUUUUUCUUUUUCUUUUCUCUGAUUCUUCUGAGAGAUUUAGCACUAGCUUGGUUCCAAAUUUUUGAUCCUUUAGUCCUAAACACUCUUAUACUUGUACUCCACACAUUUGAUAAAUUUUUCUGAAUUUCAAAUUUGAAAUUCAAAUUUCGGUCAAAAUUUGGCCGAAUUUGACCCUUUUGCCAUUUUUCCUUCCUUUUCUUUUGAAUUUUCUUCUGAAUUUUUCAUGGUUACUAUAUUAUUAUGAAUGGCAUUUAUUACACAACGCUCGCCGCACGAGCGUCCCGGUACGAUGCAUGGCUUUAUGGCUCAACCAGCGAACUCCGGAUUUUGUGGUGUAAUCCGAAAACCUCCCUUGACGUCCUCUCGCCGUGUAGCCAGGUACAGUAGACGUACACCGCACGAUCGCCUGUCCCUCGAACGCGAGCCUUGAUCCACCCUUCACCGUCCCACGGUUCGUCGGCAUGGCAUCCUAUCCCCGUUCUUCACUCGUCGCCGCAUGUACCUCGUCUCCACCUGUCACCUGCAACCACACCUGCCAAGAGACACGUCACACGCACACCGUGUUGUCAAUCGCUCAUCACCAAGGUACUAGCCCACCGGCAUCUCACAUUGACGUACCAAUAGGUCUAGCAUGUUAUAAUUGACCUCAGCAGCUCACCAAUUGGCAUUCUUUUUGGACGUUCAGAGCCAACUUGUUCAGAGCCAACUAACAAGAUAACAUGAAGACAUGGAUGGACAACUCGACUAUAUAUAUUUUUUGAACACAAACUUGAUUUUAUUAGAUUACCUGUAUUAUAAAAUACUUAUUGUAAAGCAUAUUGUUUAUACUAUUGACUGAAAUGAUAUUGCUCUUCCCCUUUGAUGCCUGUUGUAAAACUGAUUUUUUUCAGCUAAUUAUUCUAUCUUCACCUAACACUUGGUUGCAACUUCACCUACCAGAACGAUAGGUGUUGUCGCUUUGGUGUAUUGUAGUGAUCAGGUAGUGUAGAGAUAUUUUGUGUAGUGAUCAAAUUGUACAUGUAGAGAGACUUUUGUAUUUAUAGAAUUGUACAGCCGCACGAAACGCAAAGCCACCUGUCGUCGAUCCCACCACCGGGGCUCCGCGCACCCGGGCGUCAUCCCUGCUGCCACACUGCACGGUCCUGCAGAAAUAAACAGGCCAAAGGCAAAUGAGUGAAUGACACAAUCAAAAUUGAUCCGGAGACAGGUAAGAUUGUUGAUUUUCAUCAAGUUUGAUGUGGGUAAUGUUGUCACGGUCACUAGAGGGAGGAAACUGGUCAGGUUGCUAUGAUAAAAGAAUAGGGAGAAGCACAAGGGCAAUUAUGAGAUCCUCCAUGUGGAGGAUGCCUUGGGCCUCGCUGAAAGCAAAUAUGGCUAGGAAAUUGUAUAUUGAUUACGGAGGUGCAUAGCACGUACAUAUAUAUAGGCAAGGGUCCAAGGGUUAGGAACCUUGUCUAUUCUACAAGAAAACCCUGGCGGCUAGCUCUUGAUCUGGCGCAACAGGCGCCUACCAGGGGGAGCCAUGCGCAUGGGCCUAGCCGGGCUAGGGCCCAAUUACACACAUUCUAACACGCCCCCACAGUCUAAUCGCUGGUGCCACGAACAUUUAGACUAGAUCUAAAUUCUUUAAAAAUAGAAGAUGACAACCCUUGGUGAAGACAUCGGCGUACUGGGACGAUGUGGGAACAUGUAGUACACGAACGUCACCCACAGCGACGAGCUCCUGAAUGAAGUGAAGAUCGAUCUCGAUAUGUUUGGUGUGCUGAUGCUGAACCAGGUUGGAGGACAUGUAGACCGCGCUGAUGUUGUCGCAAUAGACCAAGAAGGUGCGGUGAAGUGGGGCAUGGAGCUCUUGAAGUAGCUGGCACAGCCAGGUAGCUUCGGCGACGGCAUUGGCCACAGCACGGUACUCAGCUUCGGCGAGACGGUGGGCUGACGCUUUGAGGACCAAGAAAUCAGGUUGUCGCCGAGGAAGACCACAUAAUCGAAAGUGGAUUUGCGUGUGUUAGGAUAGCCAACCCAAUCAGCAUCAGAGCAUACCACCAGAAGUGGACGCCACGGGAGAGGAAGAACGUGCGAGCGCUGGAGUUGUCAAACUCAUGACCGUUCUCGCACUAGACGGCCUUAAUGAUGGCGCCGAACUGUGUAAGCACGUAGGAAAAGAAAUUAGCAAGAGUAUCAAAUGUGUCAGAUUUUAGCCUUAGAGGAAAAGUUCUAGAAAAGUGAGAGCAAGCAUUGAGAACAAUUAAAUAAUAUUUAAAAUCUGAGAUGCUAGGAAUAGGUGAUGUCCAGAGAUCACAAUGAAUAAGAUCAAAAUUCCUGGAAGCUCAAGAGGAGGACACCCGGAAGGGAAGACGAGUGUGUCGUCCGAGCUGACAUGCAUGAUAGAGAGACGAGCUAAUGUCUUUAUUACAUGAAGGUAAAAUUAGUGCAAGACGGGCGAGGGCUUCCUGCCCAGGAUGGCCGAGGCGAUGGUGCCAGACCGUGGAGGUGACGCCAGCAGUAAGAGUAGCAGCAGCAGGGAGGUGUAGGGGGUAUAGCGGACCCAAACUAUUGCACCUGACAAUCACGUUCCUGGAUCGAAGAUCCUUCACAGAACAACCAGAUGGGUCAAAUUCAACUGAGCAAUUGUUAUCGAUGGUAAAUUGGCGAAUGGAAAUAAGAUUCUUAAUAAGGUUGGGUAAAAUAAGAACAUUAUUAAGAUGUUAAGGACCCGGAUGAACAUCUGCGCUAGUGGAGGUGACAAGAAGUAAAGAACUGUCACCGACAACAAUAGCUGAUGGAAAAGGGUACCGCUGGGUGAAAUUAUGCAAGAGGGAACGAGCAUCGGAGGUCAUGUGGGAGGUAGCACCUGAAUCGAAGUACCACUCGUGCUGCUGCGGCUGGUUUAGCGUCAUAGUGCUGAAGGUGGAGGCGAGGGAUUGCUAAUCCCAUGACGGUGUGCUGGCGGCGGUGCCGGCGAUGGAGAGCUGGUACAGCACCUGCUGUAGAGCCUAUUCCUAGGCGGCCUAGUAUGCCUGAGCCUGCGCCUGGGCCGCCUGCAAUUGGGCAGCCUACAGCUGGGCGGCCUGGAACUGGGCUGCUUGGAGUGCCUGGAGCUCCGCCUGCUGGGCUGGCGUGGCAUGGAGAACUGGGCUAGCAUGGCGUGGGGCGCCCCGGGCUGCGGAGGGCAUGUACUGGGCCACAUCUGGAUGGCCCCGGUCCACAGGUUCUGGAAGGAGGGCUAGGGAGUGACGUCGGAGGGGCCCGGGGGGCGCCUUGCUUGGCGCCGCUGGAGGGGCGCUGGCUGACACCGACGCCGCUACUACCGCUGCCGGAGUUGCCACCCUUGGAGUUGCACCUACCGGAGUUGUGUUUGUUGUGACGAGUCUUGGAGGAGCCGCCCCCGGAAUGGGGCUGCUGUGAGGCCUGGGGCGGUCGGGCUGAUGUGGAGGCGCCCGGGGCAGCAGCGAGAAGAGCGGUGGAGGGCUCCGAGGACGGCUACGCGAAGGUGAGUUCCUCGAACAGCAGAUCAUUCCGAGCCUCCAGGAACAUCGAGAACGGGCGAGCACGAUGAAGGUGAAGAACAAUGGCGGCGUACUUGGAGUUGAGGCCGCGGAUGACGUUGAGGAUGAGGGACCGGUAAGUGACAGGCUCGUCGAGCUCGUCGGCAUCAUCCAUGGCCUUCAGACGGCGGCAGUAGUUAGUGAUGGAUAGAUCACCCUAGACGAAGGUACGAAACUGGGCGUCAAGGAGGAGGGCGCGUGUGUCGUGGUUGCAGAGGAACUGAGACUCGACGGCAAGCCAGACGGAGCGAGUAGUGGCGCCGGGCGUCAUCACGGUGUCGGCAAGGUCGUUGGAGAGGGUGCCAUAGAUCCAAGACCGAACGACGCAAUCCAUCCGCGCCUAGUCAGGGUGACCGUCGAGAGGACUGUCCUGAAGCACGUGGGCGUCGAGGGAGAACUUCUCGACGGUGAGCAGAAAUUGCUCGCGCCAGCAGGCGUAGUUGGUGGAGGCGACAUCGAGGAUGAUCGGGACGAGGCUGCAGAUGUUCUGAAGUGCAACAAGCUGGGCGUGCAGGUUCAGGACGGCAGCGACCUCGUGGAGCAGCAUGGCAUCAUGGACGAAGGGGACGAUAUGGUUCUUGUGGUCAUCAUCAUCGUUGUCAGGGUGAAUGCUGGGUGGCGGAUCAGCGGCCUCAGCGGGGCGCGCUCCUCGACAGCAAGGGCCAGGGCGUCGUGGAGGCGGGCAUCAGCGGUGUCGCGUUCCUGAGCCGCGGUAGCCGCCAGCUGCUUAGCCUGGACAGCGCGGACGAGGGUGGCAGUGCGGGCAGCCUGCCGCUAGGCCUCCUCGGCGAGGUGCUGCUCCUCUGCCGCGGGCGAUGUAGCGACUGGAUCGAUGACAGGGGACGUGGAGCCAGCCAUAGUGAUGGCAUGUGCUAGAAAAGCGGAAGCUAAAUCGGGGUAGGAACCCGGACUCGUGAUACCAUGAAAGCAAAUAUGGCUAGAAAAUUGUAGAUUGAUUAUGGAGGUGCAUAGCACGUACACAUAUAUAGGCAAGGGACAAGAAAGCCCUGGUGGCUGGCUCCUGAUCUGGCGCAACAAGUGCCUGUCGGGGGGAGCCAUGCGCAUGGGCCUAGUUGGGCUGGGCCCAAUUAGACACAUUCUAACACAUGCCUUUGCCACCUAUUUGGGCAAUGUGCUCACAAUUGGCAAGGGGAACAAACCAUGGGUGAGUCUCCCCAAGGGUAAGGGUAUUAAGCUCAGCAAAAUUUAGGAGCAGAGAAAGCUGGAUCCUGCUACUCAGCUUGCUGGGAAUACUUAAGUAGUUUACAUAGAUUUGCUAUAGAAUAAGCCCAAAUGGAAACAUAGAGCGUGCCUUGCUUAUGAUUUUGCGGUUGAUAUGUAGCCUUUGAUUCUAGUUGUUAGUAUUAUUAAAUUACUGUAGACACGUCAUGUUGGAGCCCAAAAGUGGUAGGACUUGGAAAAUCUGGUCAGGCCUGUUCAGACCGGUCUUCCAACCGGUCAGACCGGUUUGGUGAAAGUUCUCAAAAUGCAAAUUGUACUUCACCAUGGUGCAGCUCUCAUUGAGACGAUAUAAAUGCAUAUAUGGAAUGUUCGAUUUGGACUUCGGAUGAGAGAGUUAUGCCCUUGGGAAGAUCAGCACCCUGUGCAGACAAGUCAGACCGGUUGAACCCACCAGUCAGACUGGUUGGAUCAAAGUGCUCCAAAUGAAGAUUGGACUCUACCAUUGCGUAGAUCUUGUCGAGUAGAUCAAGAUUCAUAUAUAAAACGUCCGAUUUGGAGUUCGGAUGAGGGAGAUACAAUCUUCGCAAAAUCUGCACCCGAGCAGACCGGUCACACCGGUUGCCCAGGCCGGUCUGACCAGUCUGGCUCUAUGUAAUCCGAGUAGGAGUUGUAAUUUAGCAUGAUUUGUAUUAGGAUUUCGACUUCUACGUGGGGAAGACCUUCCCUCAGGGAUUCAACCGGUUGAGGACAUCCAACCCAGUCGACAUAAACCAAUCUAUUAUUUAUCAUUUUUUUUCCUUUAUUCUUUUGCCCUAGCUUCUCCAAUCUACCACUUGCUGUUCUUCCUUCGUCUCGAUGAGGUUUGAAGCCGCUCUAGGUGGCCUGCCGAUCGUAGAGCAACCCUGUGUGCGUCUGCCCCCGACGGGAUCCUUCCCGGGUGAACGUUCGAAGGUCUACCGUUGACCUGCCCAACAACCGGUCGGACCAGUCCCUAUAACCGGUUAGACCGGCCUGCGUCGAGGUGCUACCGCGAGCCCCUCCGCACGCCGCACGAUCGUGUGCGUUUGUGUGUUGGCCCAAAAAAGCGUCAACACGUCCUCAUCCAUAUUUAUGUCAUCUACUAUCAAGUCAUGUCAGCAAUUAGUUCGGUCCAAUUCUGGAUUUUAUCAUGUUUUCUAAGUGGUUUGGUUUGUUCGACUUUACCUUUGUAUGAAUGUGUUCAAAGCUUUGUUUUUUGUUGAACAGCAUCAUGAGCGAAUGACUUUAUGUGUUUAUCGAGUAUUGUUUGUUUGUGAGAAGAAGGCAGUGACUGCACUUUGGUACAUUUUACAAUGCAAUGCUCAUACAAGUAUGUAUUCAUUUUUUUCGUGAACACGCAGGAGAGCUGCGCAUCUUUAUACUAAGCAGAAAAAAGACAUACAACAUGGGCCUGCCGGGUGCACGCAUUUGGUUUAAGCUUACAUUAACAGCUAUUACAUGAAACUCUUACAACGAAUGGAUAGAGAAGAGUAGAUCCUCUAUGAGAUAGGCAACCCUGCUGUCCCUGGCCAGCCAAGUGCUGCCAGGUGUUUGGCGCCUGCCGCGCACUAGAGCUCCCCUUCAGUUGUGAUCUCCUAGACUAGGCGCUCCACACUCUUUGCCUGCGAGCGGCCGAACGCUCGGUUGCAGGCAUUGAAUCCUUCCCUUUUUUGCAGCCACCAGUCAAGGAGGGACUGAUUCUGUGUUGGAGCAAUAUUCAGCAAGUUCAUUGAAGCGCUGAUAUGUUGCCACACCUGGAGAGUGUAGGAGCAUCUGGAUAGCAGGUGAUUUGCCGUCUCUAACUCUUGAUCACAAAGCACACAAUCAGCCUGGUCUUGCAGUCCACGUUUUUGCCUCCUCGCUGCCGUUCACAACCUGUUCUUGAUAGCCAACCACAUGAAGAACUUAAUUUUGAGAGGAGCCCAUGCUUUCCAAAUCAGCUUAGCUGCAACGAAUCUGACGGCAGUUCCGAAGAAGAAACGAUAUGCCGAUUUCACUGAAUACUCUCCUUUGAUGUUCCUGUUGGAUUUUGGCCCAUACAUGGCUCAAUCUCAAAAUUCCAAAGCAUGCACAACCUUUAGUCCCAUAUUGGUAAUUCAAGGAGAGGUUACUUUGCUUAAAUAUGGGAGUCUUCUCUUUAUGCAAAAAAAGGUGCAAGUGAGAGAGAGAGGAGCCUGUUGCUACACGCACGCACAUUUUCGCGUAAAAAAUCGCGUGACUUGUGACUUGUGACUUGUGACUACUAAUUUAUGAGGCUGUUUGAUGGGGGAAACUUAUGCUGUAUUGAGUCUAUAACACCAGGAGACGUCCUGAUGGAAUGGAGGCUGUCACACGCUUGCAUUCCCACUCGCUGCGCCUCGUUGACCUUCGAACUCGGCGUGCACCGGACUUGAAGGGAAGCGGGAUCUCCAAAACCACUGCCGCGAGACUCCUGCACGGGGCAGCAAUCAGGUUUUUGGGCAGCGUCUACACGCGACCGCUUGGUGACUCUGCAACACCUACAACACGUUCGACUACGUUCUAUGCGGAAUUAUUGAGUAAUGUCCCUGCAACACCUUAUUCUAGUCAAUAUGCUGACUGUUUACAUGUGUUGUAUGCUUGCGUCAAUUUUUAUCUAUGUGUUUUUCCUCCAAAUAAAAUCUGGAAUGUUUUUUAGGCACAACUGCUUUUACAGUGGUGAGCCUGCCUGCUUUGUUCAUCAACGGAGCCUUCCAUGUCGGAAUACUUGCUGCAACUUUGUCAAUUAAGGACUGAAAGUGCGACUUCUUGAGCCUGGUAACUGAUAGGGGCAAUCCUAAGUAUUGGAUGGGGAACACAGCGAUCUGAGCUGGCAAGAUGCCCUGGAUGUUCUGAACUUGCUCAGCAUUGCAAGCUAUGGGAGCUAUUAAGCUCUUCUGCAGAUUGGUGUGUAAACCUGAUGUGCUGCCGAAGAAGUUAAGAAUUUCUCUUAUGGUUGUGAUGUCCUGAACCUCAGGGGCAGCAAACAACACUACAUCAUCCGCAUAAAUGGAGCACUGAUGAUGUAUUGCAGAAUCAGUCGGAGGUUUGAGGACACCAUUCUGCACUGCUUUCCUCAGGAGCCUGUGGAGCACCUCCAUUGUGAGAAUGAAGAGCAUUGGGGACAAGGGAUCCCCUUGUCUUAAGCCUCCAUAUUGCAUUAUGAAUCACCGGCCCUGGAGAACCAUUGAGCAAUAUUCUUGUUGUACCUGGGGAAACCAGGGUUGCUAUCCAAUUUCUCCACUUUAAACCAAACCCCAUGGCUUGCAACAGCUGCAACAGGAAAGGCCAGCAGACACUGUCAAAGGCUUUGGAGAUAUCAAGUUUGAUCAAUAGUGUAGGCUUCUUUUUCCUAUGUAAGGUUCUAGCGGCCUAUUCAACGAAUUUAAAAUUGUCAUGGAUAGAUCUCUGCUUAAUGAAAGCACUCUGGUUGACAUCUAUCAAAGCGCUGAGUUCAGGUGCUAAUCUGUUUGAUAACAGCUUUGCCAGGAGCUUCCCGAAACUGUGGAUGAGACUGAUUGGUCUAUAAUCUCCUCGUAUUUUGGCAUCCUGCCUCUUGGGCAAUAAGGUGAUCAAGGCUCCAUUGAGUUUAUGCAGUUGUGCCACUAUGUUCCUAUAGAAUGCAUCAAAGGCCGCCAGCACAUCAGUUUUGAUGAUUGACCAGGCUGUCUUAUAGAACUCAGCGAUGAAGCCAUCUGGGCCGGGCACUUUUUCAUUUGGAAGAUUCCAGAUUGCAUUCCAAAUUUCCUCUUCGAUGAAAGGAACCUCCAGGUGGCUUUAGUUUCUCGCCGUGAAACCCAACACAGAUAAAUUCACUAUCUCAACUCUUUGCAUAGCAGUGCCCAAAAUAGCAGACAAGUGGCUGAACAAAACCUGCUCUUUUUCCUCAUGUGAGAUUGCCACACCUCCCUCAUGCUCAAGCCUUGCAAUAAAUUACUUUCUGGCCCUGUGGCCACAUUGCAAAUGGAAAAGUCUUGUGUUUGCAUCCCCCUCCAGCUCUGAAGCUUUCUAGCAGUGUUUUUAAGCUUCAUGUCAAGUUUUGUGAAAGGAUCAGAGAUGUGCGAUGGGCACACCCAACCCUGUGCGACAGUUUCCAAGUAGCCAGGCAACUUGAGCCACCAAAUCUAAAAAUGGAAGCGUCUUUUGACCGAAAAGUUUGAGUUGGUGGUUAGCAGUAGGGGGCAAUGGUCUGAAAUAUCAGAGGAGAGCGUCUGAAGGAAGGCCAAAGGGAACUUCAUUUCCCAAUCGACAGAAACCAGCACUCUGUCCAGCUUAGCCAAGGUGGGGUUUGAUCUCUCAUUGCUCCAAGUAUAGCGACGGCCGUGAAGAUGCACGUCAAUGAGCUGCAUGUCGUCCACGAACCUCCUGAAGCGGCCGAGAUUUACACUGUUAAUGGUGCUCGAAUUCUUGUCUGAAGCGGCCAGGAGAAGAUUAAAAUCGCCUGCAAUCAUCCAGUGAGGACUGACGAUGUUCUGUAUGGUGCGAAGCUCGUUGAGGAAUUCUAGUUUAUCGGCCUCCGGCUGUGGGCCGUAAACUGCAGUAAAACACCACAAGUCGUGCUCUCCCGAGGAAAUGGUCGCUGAGACAGAGUAGCAGCCGGUGUGCAACAAUGAGCAGGUUAGCUCCGGCCCUCUGCAAGCGAGGAGGAUGCCCCCACUUGCGCCAUUAGAUGGCAGAUAAGCGAAGCUUGUAAACCUCUGACCCAACAACUCACACACGAGGUACUCGGAAAUCUCAGGCGAACGUGCUGCUGCCGCUCCAUGUCGAGAGGUUAUUGGCCGCCGGGAAGAUGUCCCUGAAUGCCGCAAAAUGGCACGGCUUCAUUGUCGUGGUCAAGAAUUUGUUGAAAUCUUUGUCAGCUGCUGAGGUAGUUUGGUGCUCUUGGGUUAAGAUGCCGAGUUUUUUCAUGGUCAGAAGUUCCCCCUUCUUGGAUGGACGGAUCGCAGAGUUUAGCGCGUUAGUUGCCAGCCUUGUACUCCGUCUUGGCGUCUGUGCCGGAGGAGGAGCGGUGGGCUUAGGGGGCGCCGCAGCAAGGGGAGCUUGUAGUGCCAGUCGGACCGACGCAAUGAACGCCUCAGUUCUGGCUUUUGCUUGUGCAGGUUCAUCAGCUUGUGGCGCCCGCUGCCCUUGCCGUGUCGGAGGCGGUGGUGCCGAGGCAUUUCGGCGGCGCGCCUGGGGGCGGGGAGCAGAGUUGUCCUCUGUUGCUGCAUCCGCCGUGUGCACUCUUAUGCCACCAGCUUGAAAUAAUUCAUUCCUGAAGCUUGCUGGGUAUUUGUAGAAUCUUCUUUAACCUCAAAGAGUCAUCUUCUCUGCACAAAGCAUCGCAAUUGCGAUAACCAUUUCAAACUACUAAGUUAUUGUUUGAUUGUGGCUGGGUGUCAAACUGACUAUCUUUUUCCAUGUUGAUAGCAUGAAAUCAGUAACAAUUUAAUUGGCUGCACCACGAAGUUAUUGGUCCUUUGGCAGGUAUGAAUAAUUGAUCAGUAGCAACUAGUCAAAACAUUAAUUGGUCACCAAAGAAGUAAUGCACUAAAAGGAAGGCACAUUUGAAAUUUAGGCAUGGUCUUCAACUUCCAAUCAUGGUAAGGGAAAGUAAAGCAAGUUAAAAAUAUCAGUAUUAUCUGAAAAAGUAAAAUAUCAAUUCAAUAGAAUAGUCACUUAAGGGAAAAUUUUGUUUUGAACAUGUGAAAUGGACAUAACAGAACAGAAUGGUCACAGAAAUGGCAUAAUAUCUCUCCAGGCUCAGUUAUAAACAUCAUAGUUGCAGUUGGUAUGCAAAAUGCAGAACUCUCUUCCAAUCACAUGGAGAUAACUGCCAUGAUGUAGCUGUAUUAAUGGGAGAAAGUAUUAAUAUCCCAGCCUCCACAUCCAUUUGAUGCAAAAAAUAAAAUAGUAAUACAUCUCUCAUGAUAAUCAAAUAUAAAUAAAUGUCUGGUACAGAAUUUAUACUGCCUUUAACAACUUGCAUCAGAGCCUGUAUGGCAACUCAGACCUUGAUCAACGAUCAACAUAGAAGGAAAAUAGCAUUUCCAUAUUAUAGUAAAUGAGGCAAACAUGUCCCUACAAUAGACAGGAUAUGGAAUCAACACUAGAUUAAUUGAAAUGAUUCUAAUAAAAACCCAAACUUUUUAUGCUACUAACCUGGUACUUCAUGUUUUGACAGCUCACUGAUUUCUACAAAUGAAUGGCAUAUUUCCAUGUCUUUGGUUUCAAUAACUUGGCACCUGGUAAUCGCUGAUGUUAGGAUUUAUCAUAGAAAUCUAAAGUAUAACAUGAAAAACGUGUACGUCAAGCAGAUUCGAGUAUGCAUAUUAAAAUAUACAACUACCGAAUUGCAAAGAGAAAAACUCCAGUUCUUUCUGAAAUAAAAAACAGAAAUAGUACAUUUUGUUCAUCCAAAGGCGUGAAGUUAGCAAAAAACAUUAAAAGAAAGGUACCACACAGUAGGCUCCUGGGACCUUUUAUUUAGUCCACAUUCUGUCCUUUAGACAGCAAAAUUCAAUUAAAUUGACAAGUAAAAACCUUCGUUGCAUUGGCAACUUGGCAUCUAUAUUCGAGGUGUAAUAUUAGGGAAAUAGAAAAAUAUCAGUUCAAUGCAAAUUGAAAACAAUCUAUAGUCGUGUUCUUAAUUGUCCAAGUGUGGAGGGAUCACUUGGAUUUUUUAAAUUUCGUAUUGUGCAAGUGCUGAAACCAGCAAACCACCAUGACAACUGCAUGAAAAAGUAACUUUGUGGGACACUCUUCAUGCUUUUUUAGUGAUUGCUGAGUUCUUUCCACUAUUCCUUGUCAAUAAUUUCUGGGCACAGUUCACACCUAGCUAUAGUCUAUAGACGCAAAUACUAGUAGCAGUUCACAGAAUAAAGAUGAACUGAAGACAGAAGUGGAGGACCAAAGAUAAUCUAUUUUGCCUUACAUAUCAGUCUCGUUAAGCAGCUUCUUUAGUAGUCAUAUCUAUUUAGAAAUUCGAAAUGGAUAAUUAAGUAAUACAACUUGACAUGAUUAUACCAAGGCACCAAAAUUCUGUGGUCGUGUGCUGCACCUUUCUCUAAUGUAAAAAUAAUCACACCACGUCAUUCAAACUACUGCAGGGAUGCUUUAAGGCGACUGGUAUAUAUAUUUCUAGAAAGCAUGAGCAGAUUUAUGCAUUUGAUGGUGAAACGACAAAUGAGUUUGGUGGGUACCUUC
rnacentral:lncRNA from 1 species